AUCUGCUGUGCUGGUGUUCUGUGAGUGAGCCCAGGAUAGGGAGAAUUACAGUAAUAGAGCAAAAGAUCAAAAGCAUACUGGUUCUCAGUCGUCCCAGUGGUUAAUUCUGAAUGCAAAGGAAAGGUAAUCAUACACCCACCAAAUAGAUGGAGAAAUCAGUACAUUUUGUGAAAGGAACUCCCUGAGUACCAACAGGAAGGUAAAGGACAACUUUACAUAAAUGUAAAGAGUUUGUGUUAAAUCUGUACAGGAAUUUGAAACUGUGAGAGCUGUCAACCAUUCUUGGACAGAACCUUCCCUGCAAGUUAGCAUGAAUUAUAUAGCUGUAUUACCAAGGACGUCCAGUACAAGAGAGACUAGAAACUGUCAUUUAUUUCUGACCUUGUUUGGUAAGAGAUAUAAAAUCCUUAGGAAGUUUCAAAGCGAUCUGUUGAGUUUCCUGGAGUAAUUACUCUCAGAUGUCAGUGUGACAAUUCAGAUGUCAGCAUUCAAAAUUGCUGGUCAUUUUACAAGGCAUUCAGCUCAUUGGGACUGUUGCUGUCCUAAGCUGAAGGCUGACAAGCUGUACGUACUCGCAUCCUGUGAAGGAGCAGUAUGUUCUGCUCUGACCAGCCCUAAUGAAAAGGCCAAAGUCUUUUUUUAAACAUCUGCCUACAUGAAAGCAUGUUUGGUGAUGCGAUUCCGUUCUUCAGUGCAAAUUUCAUACUUGAAUCAAUGCUGACAGAAUUUCAGACAUCUCUUGACCCGAAACAGUAAUGAGAAGAAGAAAUGAUCGUCUGAAGGGUUUCCUCUGACCCACCCCAGGGUAUUUGGUAAGAAGGAAACAAAAUUAUAUUUGAAUCCAUUCAUGCACCACCUCUGAAUGUGUAGACAGAAUUCCCAGGCCUCAUGUUUCUCAGAGAUUGUAUUCAGAGCAGUGAGGAGCAAUCUGUUACUAUGAGCUGACUGCAGGUCAGCUGAUAAAGCUAU